rnacentral:rRNA from 1 species
CUACGGGUUGCAGCAGUGGGGAAUAUUGGACAAUGGGGGAAACCCUGAUCCAGCAAUGCCGCGUGAGUGAAGACGGCCUUAGGGUUGUAAAACUCUUUCGCUAGGGAAGAUAAUGACUGUACCUAGUAAAGAAGUCCCGGCUAUCUCCGUGCCAGCAGCCGCGGUAAUACGGAGGGGACUAGCGUUGUUCGGAAUUACUGGGCGUAAAGAGUUCGUAGGCGGACUGACAAGUUAGAGGUGAAAUCCCAGGGCUCAACCCUGGAACUGCCUUUAAAACUGUCAGCCUAGAGACCGGAAGAGGUUAGGGGAAUACCUAGUGUAGAGGUGAAAUUCGUAGAUAUUAGGUGGAACACCAGUGGCGAAGGCGCCUAACUGGUCCGGUACUGACGCUGAGGAACGAAAGCGUGGGGAGCAAACAGGAUUAGAUACCCUCGUAGUC